UCAUGUAUAGGAAUCAGAUUUAGAAGUGAAAGUUCCUAAUGCUCAUGGUUUAAUGAUGAUGUAUUUGAUUGAUGUGGCAGACCUAAGACAUGAGUACUCAGAAAACUUUGGUCUGUCCAUUAUAUUUUUUGUACUUGUUUGCGUAUUGGAUUUGCUUAACGCUGAAAAGGUGAUCCAGUGUCAAACUAUUUGGUAGUUUUUAACAUGAGUUGCAAAUUUGCUGCGUAUUGGAUUUGCUUAACGCUGAAAAGGUGAUCCCAGUGUCAAACUGUUUGGUAGUUUUUAACAUGAGAAUUGCAAAUUUGCUGCAGGUGAUUGGUGUCAUGCCACUUAGAAGCAAUGCUCCACCAAAGUUUUCACAGAGGAUUCAGAUGAUUACAGACACUUACCAAGUGGUUUGAUUUAUGAUGGAAAUAAUUUGUGGCAUUGAACCUGUCUUUCAAAUUGACUUUAUCUGUAGUAUGAUGGAAAUGGUUUGUGGCAUUGAACUGGUCUUUCAAAUUGACUUUAUAUGUAGGGCCUUUGUUUUAUCCCCACUCAUCCACGAACCUUGGCAGUGAAACAAGAUUUUAAAUUUGUGCGCC
rnacentral:lncRNA from 1 species